UACAGAGGGGGCAAGCGUUAUUCGGAAUUACUGGGCGUAAAGCGCACGUAGGCGGCUCUUUAAGUCGGAGGUGAAAUCCUGGAGCUCAACUCCAGAACUGCCUUCGAUACUGUAGAGCUUGAGUCCGGGAGAGGUGAGUGGAACUGCGAGUGUAGAGGUGAAAUUCGUAGAUAUUCGCAAGAACACCAGUGGCGAAGGCGGCUCACUGGCCCGGUACUGACGCUGAGGUGCGAAAGCGUGGGGAGCAAACAGG
rnacentral:rRNA from 1 species